UUCCAGACUCCUACGGGAGGCAGCAGUGGGGAAUAUUGCACAAUGGGGGGAACCCUGAUGCAGCGACGCCGCGUGGGUGAAGGAGCACCUCGGUGCGUAAAGCCCUAUCGGCAGGGAAGAAAAGCGAACAGGUUCGCCUGGACGGUACCUGACUAAGAAGCCCCGGCUAACUACGUGCCAGCAGCCGCGGGAAUACGUAGGGGGCAAGCGGUAUCCGGAUUUACUGGGUGUAAAGGGAGCGUAGACGGCGAAGAAAGUCUGAAGUGAAAGCCCGCGGCUUAACCGCGGAACUGCUUUGGAAACUUUUUUGCUGGAGUACCGGAGAGGUAAGCGGAAUUCCUAGUGUAGCGGUGAAAUGCGUAGAUAUUAGGAGGAACACCAGUGGCGAAGGCGGCUUACUGGACGGUAACUGACGUUGAGGCUCGAAAGCGUGGGGAGCAAACAGGAUUAGAUACCCGCGUAC
rnacentral:rRNA from 1 species